CCGGAAUAUAUGGCUAGUGGCGAACGGGUGAGUAAUACAUGAGGACGUAUCCUCGAGAGGGGGACAACAUUGGGAAACCGAUGCUAAUACCCCAUAAGCCGAGAGGUAAAAGGGAGCGAUCCGCUUGAGGAGCGGCUCAUGUCCUAUCAGCUAGUUGGUGAGGUAACGGCUCACCAAGGCGAAGACGGGUAGCCGGCCUGAGAGGGUGACCGGCCACACUGGAACUGAGAGACGGUUUUUACUCCUACGGGAGGCAGCAGUGGGGAAUAUUGGGCAAUGGGGGCAGCCGUGACCCAGCGACGCCGCGUGAGGGAAGAAGGCCUUAGGGUCGUAAACCUCUGUUGUGUGGGAAGAAGGAAGUGACGGUACCACACGAGGAAGUCCCGGCUAACUACGUGCCAGCAGCCGCGGUAAUACGUAGGGGACGAGCGUUGUCCGGAAUUACUG
rnacentral:rRNA from 1 species